AUUGAACGCUGGCGGCAGGCCUAACACAUGCACGUCGAACGAGUGGCGGACGGGUGAGUAAUGUCUGGGAAACUGCCUGAUGGAGGGGGAUAACUACUGGAAACGGUCGCUAAUACCGCAUACCAUCAGAUGUGCCCAGAUGGGAUUAGCUAGUUGGUGGGGUAACGGCUCACAAAGGCGACGAUCCCUAGCUGGUCUGAGAGGAUGACCAGCCACACGUGAACUGAUACACGGUCCAGACUCCUACGUGAGUCAGCAGUGGGGAAGAUUGCACAAUUGGCGCAAGCCUGAUGCAGCCAUGCCUCGUGUAUGAAGAAGGCCUUCGGGUUGUAAAGUACUUUCAGCGGGGAGGCGUUACCCGAAGAAGAAGCACCGGCUAACUCCGUGCCAGCAGCCGCGGUAAUAC
rnacentral:rRNA from 1 species